AACGAACGCUGGCGGCAGGCCUAACACAUGCAAGUCGAGCGAACCCUUCGGGGUUAGCGGCGGACGGGUUAGUAACGCGUGGGAAUAUACCCUUUGGUACGGAAUAGCCUCGGGAAACUGAGAGUAAUACCGUAUGUGCCCUUCGGGGAAGGAUUAUCGCCAAAGGAUUAGCCCGCGUUGGAUUAGAUAGUUGGUGGGGUAAGUGGCCUACCAAGUCUACGAUCCAUAGCUGGUUUGAGAGGAUGAUCAGCAACACUGGGACUGAGACACGGCCCAGACUCCUACGGGAGGCAGCAGUGGGGAAUCUUAGACAAUGGGCGCAAGCCUGAUCUAGCCAUGCCGCGUGGACGAUGAAGGCCUUAGGGUUGUAAAGUCCUUUCAGAUGGGAAGAUAAUGACGGUACCAUCAGAAGAAGCCCCGGCUAACUCCGUG
rnacentral:rRNA from 1 species